rnacentral:rRNA from 1 species
GACGAACGCUGGCGGCGUGCUUAACACAUGCAAGUCGAACGGAAAGGCCCUGCUUUUGUGGGGUGCUCGAGUGGCGAACGGGUGAGUAACACGUGAGUAACCUGCCCUUGACUUUGGGAUAACUUCAGGAAACUGGGGCUAAUACCGGAUAGGAGCUCCUGCUGCAUGGUGGGGGUUGGAAAGUUUCGGCGGUUGGGGAUGGACUCGCGGCUUAUCAGCUUGUUGGUGGGGUAGUGGCUUACCAAGGCUUUGACGGGUGGCCGGCCUGAGAGGGUGACCGGCCACAUUGGGACUGAGAUACGGCCCAGACUCCUACGGGAGGCAGCAGUGGGGAAUAUUGCACAAUGGGCGGAAGCCUGAUGCAGCAACGCCGCGUGCGGGAUGACGGCCUUCGGGUUGUAAACCGCUUUCGCCUGUGACGAAGCGUGAGUGACGGUAAUGGGUAAAGAAGCACCGGCUAACUACG